GAAAAAAAGUGGCAAAGAUCAAAACUGCUAUUGCCACAUCUGCCACCUGUGACUAGCAGCAAUGCUCAGUGAACAGGGAAUAAAUGAGGUAAGAAGAAAAAAGAACAGGCUGGUGCUGCCUGAACAAUAUCACUGUCCCAUGUUUCCGACUGUACAGUUGAGGUUAAAGCCUCCCUGGAGUAAUACUGCAACAUCUGGGGCCAUGUCUCCAACAAAGCAGCCCUUUUCCAGGAAGACGUUUCUGAUAGCUCUGCAUCCAGAUUCCUGUUUCUUGACAGAAGACAAGGCCGUCAGAGAGGCUGUGGGAGAAAAGGUGAGUCUGAGUAUUUGGAAGACUAGGUAAGAAGCAGAAGUGUGGACACACGGAGAGGAUGCAUGUGAAUAUACAGGACAGGCCUGAGGAUAUCUUUGUGAGAAAGCAAGUAGGAGUAUGUGCUCUUGCUGAGUGCGGAGACAUGCCACGCUGUUUGUUGUUGCAAGCAUAUGGGAUUGUUUGCAAAAUGGCUUCAGAUCAAUGGGUCAACUCUCCAGUUGCUAAGCCCCUGCCACUCUGGGUUCACUAUUCUUAUACCACGAGCUGCUGUAGCUGUACCGGGAAGGUACAAGAGCAGAGAAGCACACUAAGUGGGAAAUGAGCAAGUGUCACGAAACAAAAUCAAUAGCCUGGAGCCAAAGCUGUUUCUCUCCCUUUCCUGUCUCUGAUCUGUGUGUGUGCAUGCGUGUGUGUGUGUGUAACUCCAGGGCUUCUUUACCUCCUCCAUUCCCUUCUUUCCCUGCCACUGCAAAUGUUGCAGAGCAUGAUAAUGAAAGCUGGUGUCCAAGCCACCAGACAAGCCCAUCACUGCAAUCAGAACAACUGCGUGAGAUAGCAGCCUGCAGGCUCAUCAAGCUGUCCUGACGCUGGCCAGCCUCAUGCACAUGAAGAUGCCAAUCUCGCCUCUCUCCCGUUCCUCCUCCUCCUCUUUGGCAGCCCAGUCUCCUCACCCUCCUCCUGCUGCCACGUCCCCUUCCUCGCCCUCCCCCUCUCCUCCAUCCAUGCGCAGCACCAGAGGACCGCCAGCCUGGGCCACAUCCCAGCCUUGUCUCUUAACGAUUCUGAUAGGAAAUGCCCAGCAGGCUGAAUCUUUCCUAGAAAAGGAAGGGGAGGUCGGAAGGCAUAUGGUUGCUGUCCUCUGAGCUCCGGGUGACAAGGUCUGUGAUGCUGCCUCCUUCCCAGGCAGAAAAGGGAAAAAAAGAGAGAGAGAAAGAGAAAUAUCGCCUGCCUGGGCUUUGGGAAAUCACAGGCUGCUCCCUGCAGUGAGCGAGCCUCUCUGACCCUGUGCCACACUGCUGGGCACGUAUCACACCAUGCUGGCAUAGUAGAGGCUGGCAUUGUCCUAAAAUGAGAAGUUAAAAAUGCAGAGAGCCUGAAAUCUCUCAGCUUGUGUGUUUAACACAGUCACGGGAUGCUCCUCUCUUUGAGAGAACAAACAUCGCGCUGCCUCUCCUUCCUGACCUAGAAUCACAAGUUUUUAGGCACAUUUGGUACCAAAGACGAACCUCAAAGAGAGGACAGUGUCUUUGCAACUUCUAUUGUCAUUGCUGGCAGAUGUUUUGCCCAGUUCCGCUCACAUCAUUACUUAAAACCCUGCUGGAACUGAGAGUUAUCUGACUGUCCAGGCUGUGAGCUGGGCCGAAUGUCUAGGCUGCUUGUGAUGACAAGAGCAACAUGAUCUCUGGAGAACAAGCUCACCACUGCACGGGAUGGGGAAGGUGGGCACAGAGCUGGCAACGGGCUGCACUCUGCUCAGAGACUCACUGGACACUGGUCAACCAAAUUCAGCAGCUGAAAAGAAGCAGGACAUCACUUCUCCCACUUGCUGUACAGACCCUACUGCAACAACCCCUGUCCUAGUCAUCUGUGCCACUGGCAUGAAGGGAAGUUAGCAAUUUUGCAUUUUAACCCCAGGUAUAGGGUGAGCUUAGGUUAUUGCACCGUAGGCCUUCUACAGGAUUGUCUUUCACCAGCAGCGUGUUCUCAUAAAACACAGAAUGGAACUACACAUUUCCCCACUAAAUGAGCACAAGGGUUCUUCUUUCAUACAAAUGAGUUCUCUCAACAUAUGAAUUCACUGAUCUCUCUUAUUGAACCUACAUAAAGCUGCUUUCCAAACCAUACACCUCACCUUUAAUAAUCAAUAUUUCCUUUCCACUUGCUCAACUUUCAAGGUCAUAUGUUGAACAGAUUAUUCACACUUUUAGAAAUCUCCUCUUAGGCUGAUGCUAGCACUGACAUUAUGAGGAAUUUAAAGCAAAAACACAUUGAACCCGGCUUGGGGUUGACUUGCCAAUGGAAUCUUAGGCCAAAAAAAAAAAAAAAAAAAAAAAAAAAAAAGAAGAAGAAAGUGCUGUUUGUCCGAAGUAAAAGGGCAAAUAAAAUCAUUUCCAGGCUUUUAAAGAAGCUAUUACAUAUAGCAAAGUAAAAGAAAGAUUACUUGAUGACAGUGGCCUUUUAAAAUCUUACAGAGAGCAGGAGCACUAAGCAGUUAGCCAAAGGCUAUCUAUAUUCUGCUACUCCUACACGUGCUCCUAGCUCCUGCUUUAGAAAAUGUCCUUUCACAGUCAUGGCACUGUAUUCAGAACACGGAACAAUUACCUGUAAUCCUACACGCUAUCAUAUCCAUUGAUUCCACGCAGUAGCUUUUAAAAAUAUUUAUCUAAAUGGGAUUCGAGCGUGCCGUAAUACUAGCCUGCAUUUGGAACGCAGUGCUAACUAUAAGCAGAAUGAAACAGAAGAAAAGUUCAGGAGCUUUUUGUUGUCUUUUCUUUUAAACACAAAAUGUCUCCAUUAUCAAGAUGAUUUUAUCCUAGAAGCAGAGAAAUAGAUUAGUUACACCAAAUGCCAGUGAGCACCAUCACCUCUAGGAAGCUGUGGCUAGCCACAGCACUAAACAAGGUAUUUGCUGCAGCUGAGCUUGUGCCAGAGUCUCCAUACCUGCAUGGGGAAUGCAUUGGUUUGGACAGGGCUGAGUCUAGCAGAAAAACCCAAGAGCUCGCCAAGUACAACAGCCCAGAUCUGUUCAGUCUCAGUACAAGACGAACUUCAGGUUCAAACAUCUCAGCUCUGAUAUGGAACCGAAAGGGGGCUGUUUCCUGGAAAUGAUUAAAUGGAACUCACCCCACUGAAAAUCCUCAGUGAGAUCCUACAUCACAACAGGCUGAUGCCUCUAAAGACCUCGCUGUAUUCCCACCACGAUUUGGCCUUAAACCUGAAGUUUCAACACCCAGUUUACCACCCCCACCAGAGUGCUACUCUACCAUUAACUACUGUUUUAUCUUCAACACCAUUUUUACCCAAGGAUCUGAAAGCGCUCUGCCAAUAUCAGAUUUAACAAUUCCAGUCAUCCCCUGUCUUGGAGGCAACUAAGGCUUAUUGCCCUUCUGUGGCAGACAGAUACAUUACUCACAAGGAGCUGACAUGAGAUGGAGAAGGUCAAACAGUAAUGAAGUGGCAGUGGUUUGGAGGAGAACCCAGAAGUCCAGUAGCCCAGACCCCUGUUUAAUCUCGUAGACUUCCCUAUAACCAGUUUUUAUGUUUCAGAAGGAAAAGAAGAGUAACGACUGACUUUUCAAAUGUCUAAACAGAAGUAGGGGAAAAAAAUAUCAAGUGUGCUAGGCUGUCUGACUGUUACAAAAUGCUUGUAAAUGCAGAUUAACCUCCCCUCAGUCCAUUUCACAUUCAAAGGAGGUAGCUAGUCUAUCCACCAGCCACCAGAGCAACGUGAGAGACAUCAGGACACCAUCACAAAUACCAUGCUCAUCUCCAAACAAGUUAAGUUCCUAAUUCAUACUUUCGCUUGGGAGAUCUGCCUGUCUAAGCCUCAAGGGAACACCUGUAUUUUCCAAUUUUUUUAAUCAAAAGGAAUGUGCUGAGUGCUCAGUCUAGCAGUAAUUAUCAGUCUUGGCCACCUUCAGCCAUAACUGGGGGGCCAUCUCCUGCCCAGGGAGCAGAGGGUGUGUAACACAGCCAGCAUUAUUCUAACAGCAUGGGGGUGACACUUCCCUGUGCUUCAAAUUGCUGCGAUCAAAGCUUCUGCACCACUGACACACAGGAAGGCUUAUGUAGGCUGCUUGCACUGCCCGUCCGUCCUGAAAAGGUCUGAAUUUCACUGCGGGACUCCGACCCCAAUAGCAGGGAGGUGUAAGUCUGCAAAUUCAUCCCAGGACUCGAGUGUUUGCUCAGCACUGUAAGUCUAGGUCAAACACAGAGCAAAACUGCCGGCCGCCUCAUUUAAAUAUUCAGUGAACACGGCAAAGAUUAACAUUUCCUCUCUUGAAUAUCUAAAUAUUUGCCCACAAUCCCCCUGCUAAUGAGCAAAGACAAGUGCUGGUAAGUGGCAAGCAGCAUUAAGCCUAGAGUCAAUCAAAUGAGCCCAACAGGCCCUUCAGCACCACCACAAGGCCCAUGCGAGCUAAAUUCAAAGCUGGUGGCUUGCAAAUGGCCCUUCUCUCCCGCUAACUCUCCCCCCCACCAUACAUCCACACACAUUCCUCCCUCUUUCCUCUCCACCCCCUUUUCCGCUCCAUAACCCACUCGGGGGCAUAAAAAACUGGUACUGAGAAACCUGCCAACUGCUUUAGACUUUGGAACACAGGCUCUGCUCUUGUCAGCUCGGAGCCUUCCACACAAUGGAAAACAUUACACAUUUCACUAGCUAACGACCACGCUGCUCAUUUACAUGUCGUAGGCAAAUACUAACAAGGUCGCAGCCAGAAAAGUGCGGUCAGGAGCUGCUACUGCUCCUGGCAAGGGGUUAGUGCCUGGAAAAGGGCUGCACGGGAAGCUCUUUAAACACCUUGGAACAUGUGCUAAGCUGCUGAAGUAUGAGGUGUGGUGACAGCAAGGUGUUGAAACAGCACUUUUAAAAGCUGCCAGUCAUCAUUAACACAUCUCCGCAGAGCAUUGGCAGCCAAGUCAAAGCCAACACCUAGAGCAUCUUCUUGAAGGGUGGGUGGGGAGAACGGAAGAGGAAAGGGAGCAGGUGUGGGGAAGACAAAGGAAGCACACAGAAGUCAUGCGGAGGGGUUUUUCCCUCUUGCUAUCAUGCUCAGAGAUUCCCAUCCUUGUUCACAAAGAGGUAAUACAGAUUGCUGCUCUUCAUCAGCUCCUGCGUCAUUUGUCUGGCAACCCACAAGGGAAACCCUGAGCUACCCCUCCCUGCUUCUCUCUCUGAGAGCUUCUGACACUUUGGGGAUCAGGUGGUCCUGUUCUUGGUUUUGUGAAGCACCUACCCCAAGGCUAGGGGCAGCAUGAUUAACCAAAAGCUGCUGAGACGCCAGCAGAGGGCUGUUGGCUUGAGCAGCAGGGCUACUGGCAGAAACUUCUCUGUGCCAUGGAGGAGAAAGUCCAUGAGCACAGGAGAGCCCAAGAGCAGCUGCUAGCUGGAGAGGCAGAGUAACAGCAGUGUUCUCAUCUCCUGCUCUCCUACUGCUCCUGGGUCCCCUGCAAACAGACACAACCCAAAUUGUCACACUUGCCACUUUUUUUGUUCAACAGUUUUUCCUUUUUUUUUUUCCUUUUGACAAAAUUUUGACUGAUGUCUUUUCCAGUUGCACACUUCCUGAGAUUAAUUUCAACUUUAUAGGAAUUCCUCCCUUCUCUCUGACUUUAUAUAUCCAAUCACUUUACAGAAGAGUCAAGCCACCAGGAGAAAAUCUUGGGCAGAACUGCACCAGGCAUGAUGUUUUUCCUAGUACAAACACCAAGAAACAAACAAAAAGAAACCUAAAAACAAUAAACAAUAAUAAAGUUUCUAAUACUACAAAGUAGUUAGAUAGGAAAAUUUGUGUGAAUUAAAAGCAAACAGACAUAACGAAAUACAAUUCUAUGUUCUAAGAGUCUAAAACUAUCAUGCAUCAAAAUCUUAAAUAUUUAUUUGAAAUUAUGCACCCUACUUAUUCCAUAUUCUAAACCUGUGCAGCAGAGAGGCUGUAAUUGUAAUGGAUUUAAUAAAAGCUAUCAUAUUCCAUAAUUCAGCAGGAAGGAUUAUGCAUAGCCCCUAGAUGUGACUAAGAAUAGCUAAGUUUCUUCUUGUUGGUGAUUGUUCUAAGAACUAAAAUAAAAAAAUUAUCUCUCUCUCCUGCUCCUUUUGCUCCCUCAAGUACUCAAGAAGCCCCAUGCCCCACUGCUAGGCAGAAUGCUCUGUUCCCCUCUCUUUAAUGAGCUUCAGAGCAGUUGAUUCAUUAACCCUUAGCAAGCACAGGCUUCCUCAAUAUUAGGCAAAUUUUACCCCCAGCUUUCCAGGAUGUUGCUGUAAGUGAACAUCGGUACCAGCCUGACUGCCUAAGAAACAACUCUUUUUCUGUGACUGUGCUGCCAGCACGUUUGCUGAUUUACCUCCUCAUCGUGUAACUUUGGAGUCCAUGGUCCAAGCUUGGGCAAAUCUGACAGGGGGCAGAAUUUCAAAUGAGUUUCCCAAAUGAAGGCAAGGCAGCUAAAACCCAGCAGCUUACCUGUCACGAGUAGCAGGUCCCUCCCCAAAGGCUCCAGACUUCUGUGCUUUGCCCAGCCCAGCGCAAUGGGGGACGCAGCAAGGACAGAGAUGUCCCUGGCCAUCUGCUUGGAAGACACAAGCUACAAGUCCGUGGGGCUUCACUAAAUCCGCGGCUUCACUAAAUCUGCUGCUCAUGAAAAAACUUGUUUCUUUCUUCUUCUUUUUUUUUUUUUUUUUUUUUUCCUAAAACUGAAGCACUAAAAGAUUAGAGAAAGCCAGAUAUUUUAAAGAGACAUCAUGGGGACUAUGUACUUAAUUACUUUU